GCCACGACGACGAUAUCGUCCAUCUUGGCUUUCUGCUUCGCCGGAGACGGCACCACUGCAACGACAGAACCCCCGUUAACACCGACAGGCAGUAGUUACUUCACGUCGCCUCAUCCUGUUGCAAUCAGAUCACUAGCUGACAUUCAUUGUUACCCCGGGGCGCAGCUGGAACCGUACCUUGCCUAUGUUGGUGUUGUCCAGCGCGGCGUCCACCUCGUCCAAGAUGAAGAAGGGAGCAGGACGGAAGCUGAAGGACGAAACACCAAACAAGUGUCAAGCUUGUACGGAGUCGGUGACCCAGGUCACAUGUUAAGAGCCACAGACGUUAAAAACUAACACAAGUAUUAGAAAAGAUGGAACAAGUGAGAGGAGAGGAGAUGCAGUUCAUUGCCAAAAGGUUUUUAGUACAAAAGAAAAUUGGACAGAAGUAGCAGCAACUGGGAGAUUCCCAGUGUCUCUUUAGAAAAGAGUUCUCUGCAUAAAGUUAAUGUGUGUGCAAGAGGAGAGGAUCAAGAGGCUCUCCAAAUAUCAUAACCUUUACUUUAAUAGUCCAUUCAUCAGUUUAAAAACUCAAAGUACCCAAAGUCUGCUGGUUUCUUCCCCCCCGAAAAGUUUCUGUAAGAUGUUUCGUGGCGUUAACAGCUGUGCUAAUUCCUUUUUUGUGUUGCUUUUUUCUAGCUAGGAGACGUAACUAUCCAGCUGUCCAGCUCACACUUUUUUUUUUGUUAAAUGAUUUUGGGGGAAAUAGGAUCUCGGUGAUUCAAUCCGUCAGUACAGAUUUAUUAAUUGUUAUUUGGUGCUUUUAUGUGCAAUUCUUUGUAUGUCAAGUUGAUGUUUACCCUCUGCUUUUACACUAACCACAGUUUCCAGUUUCCCCUAUUAUAAUUUAAUUUUAAAGCAUUCGUGUAGCCGAGGGCGUUGCAAUCUGUACAGUGCACAACAUCCUCUGUCCUUGGGACCCUCGGAUGGGAAAAACGUAACAAAAAAAACAAACAUAAUCUCAUAUCUUGUAUUAUAUAUUGUUUUCUUCGACGUGAGCGUCACACCUGUGGAUGGCGAACACCAGGGCGAGGGCGGCGAUGGCCUUUUCUCCACCGGACAGAUUGUCCAUGGACAUGAAGCGUUUCCCCGGCGCCACGCAGUUGUAGUUGAUGCCUCCGAGAUACGGCUCUUCUGGAUUCUCCGCACUCAGGAUGGCCUGGAGCACAGAUGGCAGGAUCUUGGUCAUUCGAGCCCAGUGGAACAGACGGCACUGAGAGGAGAUGAUGAGGCGCGAUGUCUCGACCGUGAGUUCUGCGUCCAGGCCAGAGUAGUCGAUGAGGAGUCGUGCCUCUCUCUCGAAGAUGUUCAAGGUGGUUGAAGUGCUUUCAGAUUCAGUGUCCAGCUGCACGGCGGAGAGAAAAUCAGGUUCCCCGACAGCAGAAUGAUGGGCAGACCCUGGAUCUUGCAGGCCAGCAGCAUGUUGUGCCUGGCCAAGCGCUUCUGCUCCAAGGCCGACUCUGCAGACAUCACCUCCCGCUGGAGCUUCACCAACUCUCUGUGAGGGAGAUCGGGAAGAGAAAACUGAAAGCCAAAAGUAGAUUGGAAUGUUAUGUUUUCCCUGAAAACAGAGAUUAUGAAUUGGCAGCAUAUCUCUCUACUGUCAGGAAUAGAAAGCAGGAUAGAUCCUAACCAAGUCCAGGCCCGGUGACCACAAACUGGAC